UAAAUUUUAUUUUAAAAAAAAUUUAAUAAUUACAAUAUUAAGAUAUAUAUAUUAUACACAUAUAAAUUUAA
rnacentral:tRNA from 1 species